AUGAGAGAAUACUACUGCUAUAAAUUCCAUACACGACCAAACAUAUUCAACCCAAUAUUGCAUGGUGGACGGCUUUUCCAGCAGUUUGCUGUAGAUACAUACAUCAAGAUUGAAAGCUCCAGAUUGGAUUAUAUGUGGCAUCAUCAGAACAAAAUAAGGGCAGAUCUAUACCAAGGCCUUCUAGACAACAUUCAAGCAGGAGAACAGAAUGGAGAUGCAGUCGGAAAACGGAGAGUACUUACCUCAUCGUUUAUUGGAGGGCCACGAGAUAAACUUCGCCGGUAUCUAGAUGCUAUGGCUUUAGUUAGAAAAUAUGGGAAGCCAGAUGUAUUCCUCACAAUGACCUGCAACCCCAACUGGGAAGAGAUCACACGUGAACUACAGUUCAGACAAACACCACAAGAUUGCCCAGACAUUGUAGUUCGUGUCUUCAGGGCCAAGCUAGAAGAAAUGAAGCAGCUAUUUGAGAAGGCCAUUCUUGGAAAGGUUCAGGCAUAUACAUAUGUCAUAGAGUUCCAAAAGAGGGGACUAGCCCAUGCUCACUUUUUGCUCAUCAUGACCGGGAAAUACAAAUACACAUGUCCGGAACAGUAUGACAGAAUUAUCUCCGCUGAGCUCCCUGACAAGCACAAGUACCCGGAGCUAUACAAAAUGGUAGUCAAACAUAUGAUGCAUGGUCCUUGCGGUGCAUUGAAUAAAUUUUGUCCAUGCACAAAGAAUCGUCCGUCAUAA
rnacentral:rRNA from 1 species